AGGACGAACGCUGGCGGCGUGCUUAACACAUGCAAGUCGAGCGAGGCCCCUCCUUCGGGAGGGUGUCCUAGCGGCGAACGGGUGAGUAACACGUGGGCAACCUGCCCUCAGCUCUGGGAUAACCCCGGGAAACCGGGGCUAAUACCGGAUACGACCUCCACGGGCAUCUGCGGAGGUGGAAAGGUUUUUCCGGCUGAGGAUGGGCCCGCGGCCUAUCAGCUAGUUGGUGGGGUGAUGGCCCACCAAGGCGACGACGGGUAGCCGGCCUGAGAGGGCGACGGCCACGACUGGGACUGAGACACGGCCCAGACUCCUACGGGAGGCAGCAGUGGGGAAUAUUGCGCAAUGGGCGAAAGCCUGACGCAGCGACGCCGCGUGAGGGACGAAGGCCUUCGGGUUGUAAACCUCUUUCAGCAGGGACGAAGCGAGAGUGACGGUACCUGCAGAAGAAGCACCGGCCAACUACGUGCCAGCAGCCGC
rnacentral:rRNA from 1 species